GACGAACGCUGGCGGCGUGCUUAACACAUGCAAGUCGAACGGAAAGGCCCUGCUUUUGUGGGGUGCUCGAGUGGCGAACGGGUGAGUAACACGUGAGUAACCUGCCCUUGACUUUGGGAUAACUUCAGGAAACUGGGGCUAAUACCGGAUAGGAGCUCCUGCUGCAUGGUGGGGGUUGGAAAGUUUCGGCGGUUGGGGAUGGACUCGCGGCUUAUCAGCUUGUUGGUGGGGUAGUGGCUUACCAAGGCUUUGACGGGUAGCCGGCCUGAGGGUGACCGGCCACAUUGGGACUGAGAUACGGCCCAGACUCCUACGGGAGGCAGCAGUGGGGAAUAUUGCACAAUGGGCGGAAGCCUGAUGCAGCAACGCCGCGUGCGGGAUGAUGGCCUUCGGGUUGUAAACCGCUUUCGCCUGUGACGAAGCGUGAGUGACGGUAAUGGGUAAAGAAGCACCGGCUAACUACGUG
rnacentral:rRNA from 1 species